UACGUAGGGGGCAAGCGUUGUCCGGAAUUAUUGGGCGUAAAGCGCGUGUAGGCGGCUUUGCAAGUCGGGUGUGAAAGCCCUCGGCUCAACCGAGGAAGUGCGCCCGAAACUGCAGAGCUUGAGUACCGGAGAGGGUGGCGGAAUUCCCCAAGUAGAGGUGAAAUUCGUAGAUAUGGGGAGGAACACCGGUGGCGAAGGCGGCCACCUGGACGGAUACUGACGCUGAGACGCGAAAGCGUGGGGAGCAAACAGG
rnacentral:rRNA from 1 species